UGAUGAAAAGCAUCCCUACAACAUGAUGCUACCACCAUCAUGCUUCACUGUUUACUGUUUUACUGAUUUACUCUUUUAGUGUUGGACAAACACAGAGCUUUGUGCCAAGGCCAAAAAGUGACUUUAGUCUCAUCAGACAUUUGUGUGUGAGCGUGUGUGAGUGUGUGUGUAUUUGUGUUCGUGUUCGCGGGCUUUGUCCAGUCGAGAGCAUUGGGACUUUUAUUUUGAAGAGAAGACGAGGUCUAUUCUGAUCGCUGUAGCUGCUUUCAGACUUUCGUCACGUGGGCAGGCCCCACCUCAUAGACAUAUAAAUAUGGUCCCCUUUCCUGUGUUUAGUGAGGAUGGUUCGUGCAAUUCUUGUGUUAGUUGUUUAAGGAAGUAUCUGAUGAUGACGAUGAAGCGUCAAGGUUUUCAGGCAUCAACAGGCAUUUCAAAUGUUAUUGUGUGGUUGUUGAACUAAUUAAAGCACUUUUUUUGGGGGGGGUAUGUAUAUAACUUGGUGGUAUUUGUUAGACAGGGUGUGGAAAAUGUGGCUUUUGCAUAAAUAUGUAUUUUUUUGUUUUAAUGUUUAACUUCUGAUUAAAAAAGAAUCUUUUAUCAAUUUAAAUAAAAACUGUAAGAUUCCACA